CUGCAUCUUCAGCUAUUUCUUGCCUUUUCCACAAAACAGAAGGCUUCGAGCUUUCCCAGCUUCUCCAGCCUGCCUCACGAAACGCAGCUUCUGCUCCCCACAGCUCCUGCCCUGAUUGUGAGUCUAAAAACAGGUAGGUAGCAUAUGAUGAUAAUGGUGGAGAGGAGCCAGAGAACCAUGGAGACAACACAGAAAGAAACCAUAUUGCUCUCCACAAAACAGCCCA